GCCGGUAGGUGCCGGUGGUGCCGGCCUAACGGCUGCGGACCGCGAUGUCUCGCGGAACCUCUCCUAUUCCUCCGGCAGGGGUUACAGCACCUGUUUGGGAUCGACGAAAAGGUGAAGGGGAGCGAGCGAGAGGAGAGGUGUUGUGCGCGGGCUCUGCGGCAGCGGCGGAGAGCAGCUAGGGCGCCGGUGGCCGGAGGGGAGCAGCGCGGUUCUCCAGGUCCUCUUGGCAGCAACAGAUGAAGCAGAUGGGGCUCGUGACUUAGCUCGUUCCUUCCGGGCAUGUGAGCGGUAGCUGGAGCAGAAGUUGCGCAUGUAGCGGCCGCAGGCCGCAGCUAACGGCGGCGAGGCCAGGUGGAGGCCGGAGGGGCUGGAGCGGAAGCACGAGUGAUGGGGCUCUGGCUACUACGGCGACACUAGCUGAUGCAGUGGCUGCUGGGGAGGAACAGACUCAUUGGUCUACUGCCUAGGGUCCUCGGUCUGCUGCGGUGACUACUGAUGAUGAUGGGACUCCUACGGAUGAUGAUGCACCUCCGGCGGCUGCUGGUCCUCAUCAAUCCUCCGAGGGUCCGUUCUCCGGAACGGAAAAGCUGGCAACAACGAAAACACGAUCGGAAAAAUUCCGUUUGAACAGAUUGAAUACAGACAUGAGUCUAUAACAAUGAAGGCGACUGAGAACACAUAAGCUCGAAUACAUAAGCUCGGAAGCUCCGGGGACCGAACAUUAUAUUUCGAACAUAAUAAAAUUAAACACAGAUCUCAACACAACGCUAUAGAAGGGCACUCAGGAACUAGAACUAGCAUGUGUAAACGCACAUACUAACUUAGCUCCCACAGUGUUUUCUCUAGGUCAGUUCAGUGUGAGUUACAUUUGAUUGUCAUUACUUA
rnacentral:rRNA from 1 species